rnacentral:rRNA from 1 species
UUAAGCGACUAAGCGUACACGGUGGAUGCCCUGGCAGUCAGAGGCGAUGAAGGACGUGCUAAUCUGCGAUAAGCGUCGGUAAGGUGAUAUGAACCGUUAUAACCGGCGAUUUCCGAAUGGGGAAACCCAGUGUGAUUCGUCACACUAUCAUUAACUGAAUCCAUAGGUUAAUGAGGCGAACCGGGGGAACUGAAACAUCUAAGUACCCCGAGGAAAAGAAAUCAACCGAGAUUCCCCAGUAGCGGCGAGCGAACGGGGAGGAGCCCAGAGCCUGAAUCAGUGUGUGUGUUAGUGGAAGCGUCUGGAAAGGCGCGCGAUACAGGGUGACAGCCCCGUACACAAAAAUGCACAUGCUGUGAGCUCGAUGAGUAGGGCGGGACACGUGGUAUCCUGUCUGAAUAUGGGGGGACCAUCCUCCAAGGCUAAAUACUCCUGACUGACCGAUAGUGAACCAGUACCGUGAGGGAAAGGCGAAAAGAACCCCGGCGAGGGGAGUGAAAAAGAACCUGAAACCGUGUACGUACAAGCAGUGGGAGCACGCUUAGGCGUGUGACUGCGUACCUUUUGUAUAAUGGGUCAGCGACUUAUAUUCUGUAGCAAGGUUAACCGAAUAGGGGAGCCGAAGGGAAACCGAGUCUUAACUGGGCGUUAAGUUGCAGGGUAUAGACCCGAAACCCGGUGAUCUAGCCAUGGGCAGGUUGAAGGUUGGGUAACACUAACUGGAGGACCGAACCGACUAAUGUUGAAAAAUUAGCGGAUGACUUGUGGCUGGGGGUGAAAGGCCAAUCAAACCGGGAGAUAGCUGGUUCUCCCCGAAAGCUAUUUAGGUAGCGCCUCGUGAAUUCAUCUCCGGGGGUAGAGCACUGUUUCGGCAAGGGGGUCAUCCCGACUUACCAACCCGAUGCAAACUGCGAAUACCGGAGAAUGUUAUCACGGGAGACACACGGCGGGUGCUAACGUCCGUCGUGAAGAGGGAAACAACCCAGACCGCCAGCUAAGGUCCCAAAGUCAUGGUUAAGUGGGAAACGAUGUGGGAAGGCCCAGACAGCCAGGAUGUUGGCUUAGAAGCAGCCAUCAUUUAAAGAAAGCGUAAUAGCUCACUGGUCGAGUCGGCCUGCGCGGAAGAUGUAACGGGGCUAAACCAUGCACCGAAGCUGCGGCAGCGACGCUUAUGCGUUGUUGGGUAGGGGAGCGUUCUGUAAGCCUGCGAAGGUGUGCUGUGAGGCAUGCUGGAGGUAUCAGAAGUGCGAAUGCUGACAUAAGUAACGAUAAAGCGGGUGAAAAGCCCGCUCGCCGGAAGACCAAGGGUUCCUGUCCAACGUUAAUCGGGGCAGGGUGAGUCGACCCCUAAGGCGAGGCCGAAAGGCGUAGUCGAUGGGAAACAGGUUAAUAUUCCUGUACUUGGUGUUACUGCGAAGGGGGGACGGAGAAGGCUAUGUUGGCCGGGCGACGGUUGUCCCGGUUUAAGCGUGUAGGCUGGUUUUCCAGGCAAAUCCGGAAAAUCAAGGCUGAGGCGUGAUGACGAGGCACUACGGUGCUGAAGCAACAAAUGCCCUGCUUCCAGGAAAAGCCUCUAAGCAUCAGGUAACAUCAAAUCGUACCCCAAACCGACACAGGUGGUCAGGUAGAGAAUACCAAGGCGCUUGAGAGAACUCGGGUGAAGGAACUAGGCAAAAUGGUGCCGUAACUUCGGGAGAAGGCACGCUGAUAUGUAGGUGAAGCGACUUGCUCGUGGAGCUGAAAUCAGUCGAAGAUACCAGCUGGCUGCAACUGUUUAUUAAAAACACAGCACUGUGCAAACACGAAAGUGGACGUAUACGGUGUGACGCCUGCCCGGUGCCGGAAGGUUAAUUGAUGGGGUCAGCGCAAGCGAAGCUCUUGAUCGAAGCCCCGGUAAACGGCGGCCGUAACUAUAACGGUCCUAAGGUAGCGAAAUUCCUUGUCGGGUAAGUUCCGACCUGCACGAAUGGCGUAAUGAUGGCCAGGCUGUCUCCACCCGAGACUCAGUGAAAUUGAACUCGCUGUGAAGAUGCAGUGUACCCGCGGCAAGACGGAAAGACCCCGUGAACCUUUACUAUAGCUUGACACUGAACAUUGAGCCUUGAUGUGUAGGAUAGGUGGGAGGCUUUGAAGUGUGGACGCCAGUCUGCAUGGAGCCGACCUUGAAAUACCACCCUUUAAUGUUUGAUGUUCUAACGUUGACCCGUAAUCCGGGUUGCGGACAGUGUCUGGUGGGUAGUUUGACUGGGGCGGUCUCCUCCUAAAGAGUAACGGAGGAGCACGAAGGUUGGCUAAUCCUGGUCGGACAUCAGGAGGUUAGUGCAAUGGCAUAAGCCAGCUUGACUGCGAGCGUGACGGCGCGAGCAGGUGCGAAAGCAGGUCAUAGUGAUCCGGUGGUUCUGAAUGGAAGGGCCAUCGCUCAACGGAUAAAAGGUACUCCGGGGAUAACAGGCUGAUACCGCCCAAGAGUUCAUAUCGACGGCGGUGUUUGGCACCUCGAUGUCGGCUCAUCACAUCCUGGGGCUGAAGUAGGUCCCAAGGGUAUGGCUGUUCGCCAUUUAAAGUGGUACGCGAGCUGGGUUUAGAACGUCGUGAGACAGUUCGGUCCCUAUCUGCCGUGGGCGCUGGAGAACUGAGGGGGGCUGCUCCUAGUACGAGAGGACCGGAGUGGACGCAUCACUGGUGUUCGGGUUGUCAUGCCAAUGGCACUGCCCGGUAGCUAAAUGCGGAAGAGAUAAGUGCUGAAAGCAUCUAAGCACGAAACUUGCCCCGAGAUGAGUUCUCCCUGACCCUUUAAGGGUCCUGAAGGAACGUUGAAGACGACGACGUUGAUAGGCCGGGUGUGUAAGCGCAGCGAUGCGUUGAGCUAACCGGUACUAAUGAACCGUGAGGCUUAACCUU